UCAGUCAGACGGAGGUAUUUCGAGAGCCAAAGCAAGACGAGGCUCUUGUCCUUGCUCAGAUAUAACAAGGACAUCAGGCUCUUUUUAAAAAUUCGAUGUUUUUCCAAUGGAGUUUUGAAUGGAGCGUGAUUAAAAAAGACAAAGCUGCUUCAAAUUAGCUUAAAUGGAGAGAAACAGCGUGGUAGCCAUGUGUUCAAACACCUGUGUCCCAUCAUGCCGCAAAAUAUUAAAUAUGAGACACAGAGAAGGAAAACGGGACACUCACUUCCUCCGACCAUCCCCGGGGUCUGCCAGCAGGCCAGCAGGAGCAGCAGCAUCAGCCCGAGAUCCAGGAGCCAGGUGAGGUGAUUCAGACAUCUGCUCACAGUGCCUCCAGGACGCCUCCCUGUGGUGGUUAUUUUGAGCCACUGGGAGGAAGACAAAAGUGGGGAAGAUCAAAAGCAUGCUGCAGGGUUUAAAUAUCCCAUCUGGUAUGGGAACGCCCUGGGAUCCCCCUGUAAACACUGAAUCAUCUGCUGGAGAGAUUUUUGAUCUAAAGAGGCAAGAGAAGACCAGAAAGGGAGGGGGAGAGAGAGCCUGCAGAAGCAACAUAGACGAGCAUAUAAGAGGAAAAUAUCUGAGGUCAAUCAGCAAAAAGAGCCACAGAUAAAAAGGCUGCAAGGCCUUCAUUUUAUGUCUCUACAAAGGAUUAUUUCACCCCACAAAAGAAGCACAUAGUAGCAGUUAUUCAGUUGUUCAUAACUCCAACUGGACACUUAGGUGCACCUGUUCAGCUGGUGUAUAUAUGUAAUCAACCAAUCCAUGAAGACAACUCAGGGUAUUUAGGUACAUAGAUCAAGACGACCUGAGCAUCAGAAUGAUUAAAAAGGUGAUUUAAGUAACUUUGAAUGUGGUAUGGUUGUUGGUCUGAAUAUUUCAGAAACAGCUGAUCAGCUGGGAUUUUCUGGCACUCUUGUCUCUCUCUGGGAGAAGAUGUCUUUUUGAUGUAAGAGGUCAGAGGAGAAUACAAAACUGCUUUAAAGUGUCAGAAAGGCCUCAGUAUCUAAAAUAACCACUUGUCAGAAGAGCAUUUCAAGAACAGCAGAAGACCACACCAGGUGCUCCUCCUGUGAGCUAAGAACACCAAACUGAGGUGUUGGCUAAUAACCUUGGACAAUAGAAGUUUGGAAAAAUGUUGUCUGAUCUGACGAGUUUCGAUUUCUGCUGCUACAAUCAGAUGGUAGUGUCACAAUUUGGUGUAAACAACAUGAAUGCAUGGAUCCAUCCUGCCUUGUGAUGUGCUUACAGCACAUCUGCAUCAAAUUAUAUGAUGCUACAAUGUCAAAAUCGCUGAGGAAUUUUUCCAGCACCUUGCUGAAUCUAUGCCGUGAAUGACUGAGUCAGUUCUGAAGGGGUCUAGCCCAGUAUUACCAGGGUAUACCUAAUAAAGUGACCAGUGGGUGUAAUUCUUCCAUAAUGAAUCAGAUUCGCAUGCAACAGGGGGUCCAACCGGAUAGUAACAAGGUGUACCUAAUAAAGUGGCUGGUGACUGUAUAUGCUGGUGACUGUA